AUCAGGUAAGAGUGCUUGGUAGGACCUCUGACUCACACAGGCAUGCCCCACCUUCUCCUAAAUAAAUAAAUGCAAAACAAAACAAAAAUUAGGACUACCGGCCACACUUGCAUACUACAGAAAUAUGUAGAGAGUGCUCUUUGCCCAGUGCACUGAAUCAUUCCUGAGGUUUGUGUCUUAGGGACACUCACCAAUUGAUGUGAAGGAGCCAAAAUAAACUAUUGGGGGCCUAUUUCAUCUAUAGCACCUGUUCUGCUCCCUGUGAGCUCUGAGUGCUCCCUCUCCCUCCUUCCUCCCUCCUCCCUUUCCUUCUCUCCCUCUCCGCCUCCCCUCCCCCUUCUCUCUCUCUCCCUCCCUCCCUCUCUCCCUCCUGCCUCUCUCUCCUUCCUCUCUGUCUGUCCCCCCACCCCUUUCUGGCAUAAAUCCACUUUGAGAAAUGGCUUCCCUGUGGACCUCCACCCCUUUCGUUUCUGCCCUGUGGCUCACAGCCUCCCUUCAGAGCUAAGCUCCUUGAAGGAGUUCUGGGCACUCCCUAUGUACACUUCCUGAUGGUGGCUGUCCAAUCCAACCCACAAGAAUCUGACUCACUUGAAGCUUCUUCAAACAGCCCCAGCCCACCACUCCACUGAAACUGUUCUCCUAAGCCUUAAUCCAGGCUUUCACGGUGAUUGCAUGGAUUGCUGACAUCACCCCUUGCCUGCCUCCACCUCAUCAUUCAUGAUAAAAGAGGGAUGCUCUUCAUAAAAUGCAGAUUAGACAAGGUUACGUCCUUGUCCAAUGUCUCGGUGGCUUGCUGUGGAUGGCAGAAGCUUGGCAUUCUUUGCAUUUCAUGCCAGUCUCUCCCAGCCUGGCUAUGAUGUCCCUCUCUAGACACAUCUCCACGGAGCCCCAUGGUUAUGCCACACUGCAGCUAGUGUCUCCAAGUGCUGGUCUGAGGAGAUUUUUCUCAAGAUAUUGGAAAGUCUGGCUAAAUGAAUGUGGAUUUAAAUCAAACUCCACACACACUGAGAACGUCUGAGAAGGAGCCAAGUGGGUAAAGUUUGAGGACCAAGCUAACACUUCAGUGAAUUCAACUGGGAAAACACACGGAAGGCAUUUGGAACACAACUUCUAGAAUAUAUCCAGCUGUCUUUUGCCCCUUCCCUUCUGCCUGAGAUGCCAAUCGCUUGUGAGUUACAAAAAUAACUGUUCUACAUGUACAGGGGAUACAGAAAAAAAACCUGUUAUAUGCUUGGCAUAUAGUAGGAAUAGAGGCUCUGGUGAGCCAAACAUAUAAACACAUGAUCACAGUGUGUCAAAAUGAAGGGUGUCUUGGCAGCAUAGGGCGGAGGGCUGAGUUAUGUGGCCAGGGGACAGUAACUCUGCCUUCUUCACUUGACCUACCACUAAAGUGUGCCCCAGUUUAACCUCCUGUAUUUUGAGCUUAUUUCUUCUGUGCAAAUACACAUGUCGUAUCUUCUUGAUAUAUUAGCGCCUAGCAAAUGCUCUCCAAUUUGUUUCUAAUGAGAUGUCUCAAAGUCCACCUUGGGGGAUAGAGAGAUGUUUUAGUGGGUAAGACUGCUAGAUGCACAAACGUAAGGACCGGAGUUGAAUCCCUGGCUCCCGUAUAAAAGCUGAACAUGGCUGCAUGUGCCUGUAACAUUUUAUGUUAUAUAUGGUUUGCUAUAGUUUUAAACGUUGAAAAGAACAUCGAGGAUGAAGAAAAUAGAGGAUGUUUUUUCUUCUUUGACUGUUUAAGGAUUCACCUUUAUCAUGAAUGUUUCAGUAAUUAUCUAGACCAGAGACUUGAUGAUGACUUCGGAGGAAACAAGUAGUUUGACCUGGCCCACCACAGUCCAUAGGCCAGUACUCUGGAAAAAACUAACCAAAAUGCCACAUGUCAUCUCUGUAUUUGGAUUCAGAACCCACGUUGAUGGUGGCAAGAUGAUCGGCUUUGGCAUGGUUUAGGGUUCCUUGAAUUAUGCCAAGAAAAAUAAGCCCAAACACAGACUUGCAAGACACAGCUCUAUAAAAAGAAAAAAGAGUUUAGAAAACAGUGUUAAAGAGGCAAGAACAGGAUAAAGAAAAGCGGGGUCGGUAGUUGGUAGGAGAGCAGGGUGUCUGCAAAGACGGAGGGUGGUGCUGGCAGAAGCGACCCGAGACUGGUCUUGGCAGAAGGAGUGAAGAGUCUGCAGUGACUUGAUCUGUGGUGACAUGCACAUUUCUAAGCAGAGGACUAAUAACCUGCACAAUUUUAACAAAAAAGUGAUUUUUAAACAGCACAUCCCAGGGCAAUGCUGAACAUGGCUUGGUGUUGUGGUGGUUUGAAAGAAAAUGUCCCCCAAAGGGCGUGGCACUAUUAGGAGGUGUGGCCUUCGUGGAGGAAGUGUGUCACCGUGAGGGUGGGCUUUGAGGUCUUUUCUCAACCUUCCCUCGGUGUGACAGAGUUGACUUCCUAUUGCCUGCAAGAUGUGUAGGACUCUCCACACUCUCUCAGCGCUAGCACCACAGCGCCAUGGUCCCCAUCAUGAUGAUAACGGACUGAACCUCCGAAACUGAGUCUCCCCAAAUAAAUGUUUCCGUUUAUAAGAGUUGCCGUGUUCACGGUGUUUCUUCACCAUGUGUUCUGUGUUGUGUCUAAUUACAUAAGCCACAGGCUCACACUGCUUCUUGUCCAGGGUGGAAGUUCCCACUGCCAAUGGCAGUUUAUGAGGUGGGUUCCAUGAACACCCACUUUCCUGGGAAAGUCAAAGAGGACUUCUGUGGCAGCUGGAUGCCCACUCUAGGCCAGAGCUGGCAGCACCACCACUUCCCUAAAGGUUACCAGCUACAGCGGAUUCACCAGCCAGGAACUACCCCGAUUCUCCUUAUAUUUAUCUUACGACAAUGUUGCCGCACAUUUUAGAAAUAUUUGGAGCUGGAUAAACACUAAGCAUUGAAGAAAUUGAAUGGAUAAUCACAAUGACAGGGCAGAAUAAAGAGAUUAAGAAAAACCGCCAAAAGAAAAUCAGAAUUUUUCUUUUCAGGCAAGGCAUUGACAAAAGGCUUAUAAUCUUGGCCAAAUGAGUUAUACGUGGAUACAACUUGCAGGGGUCGGUUGUUUCCUUUUACCAUGUGAAUCUAGAGACUUAGCCUAAGUGGUCAGCAAGAGCCUUUCCCUGCUAAGCCUAGCAAUAUUGUAUUUCAAUAAAAUGUUCCAACUUAUAUCCUUA